rnacentral:rRNA from 1 species
CCUACGGGUGGCAGCAGUGGGGAAUAUUGGGCAAUGGGCGCAAGCCUGACCCAGCAACGCCGCGUGAAGGAUGAAGGCUUUCGGGUUGUAAACUUCUUUUGGCAGGGAAGAAUAGAAGAUGGUACCUGACGAAUAAGCUACGGCUAACUACGUGCCAGCAGACGCGGUAACACGGAGGUGGCAAGCGUUGUACGGAUGUACUGGGGGUAAAGGGCGGGUAGCCGGGUUGACAAGUCAGAUGUGAAAUCCUGCGGCUUAACCGCAGAACUGCAUUUGAAACUGUUGAUGUUGAGUACUGGAGAGGCAGCUGGAAUUCCUGGUGUAGCGGUGAAAUGCGUAGAUAUUAGGAGGAACACCAGUGGCGAAGGCGGUCUGCUGGACAGCAACUGACGGUGAGGCGCGAAAGCGUGGGGAGCAAACAGGAUUAGAUACCCUUGUAGUC